GAUGAACGCUGGCGGCGUGCCUAAUACAUGCAAGUCGAGCGAACAGACGAGGAGCUUGCUCCUCUGACGUUAGCGGCGGACGGGUGAGUAACACGUGGAUAACCUACCUAUAAGACUGGGAUAACUUCGGGAAACCGGAGCUAAUACCGGAUAAUAUAUUGCACCGCAUGGUUCAAUAGUGAAAGACGGUUUUGCUGUCACUUAUAGAUGGAUCCGCGCCGCAUUAGCUAGUUGGUAAGGUAACGGCUUACCAAGGCAACGAUGCGUAGCCGACAUGAAAGGGUGGUCGACGACCUGGGAGGGGAGACAGCGUCACGACUCCUGAGGGAGGCCGCAGUAGGGAAUCGUACGCAAUGGGGGAAAGCAUGACGGAGCAACGCGGAGUGAGGGAUGAAGGUGUCAGGAUCGUAAAACUGUGUUAUUAGGGGAGAACAAAUGUGGAAGUAACUAUGAAGGUAUUGACGGUACCGAAUCAGAAAGCCACGGCUAACUACGUG
rnacentral:rRNA from 1 species